UUUCGCAAUGGUGAACCUCAUCAGAGUUUUAUCGCUGUAGGCGCUAGGCAAAGUUGGUCUGCUGCUUUUCGAGAACUUUAUUUCAUUUAUUUAUGAUUCAAGCCAGUACAUCGUUGAGUUCAUAAUCAACGACGUCCUGGCAGGUGGUGAGAAAUUCGCUGUACUCACUAAAAUCGUAGACGCUGCAACAGAGGAGGACUGCGAGUUCUUCUGUCCAGAUGGCUGGUGGUGAUGCAAUGAAGAAAGAAGGCCACAUGCCCACUAGCAAUGGCUGUGGCUCUUUGAGUUUCAGGUUAGACUUUUGUUAACAGACCAGUCUACUUUUAUACUUUUUAAAAAUUUACAUGCAAAGCAGCACAUCUUUAUAAUAUGAUGAUUAGUUUUGUUAUUUAUGUUGCUGGGAGUUGUUUCUGUUAUUCUGUAAUAAAAUUUGAAAUUCAGAAGGUUGGUUAGGUUUCAGUAGUUUUAUCGUAGUUGUGGUAACUACAAAGAAACUUAAAAUUUAGUGAUGUGUAUGAUUGCCAUAUU